rnacentral:rRNA from 1 species
AAUAAGUUAAGUAAGGGCGUAUGGCGGAUGCCUAGGCUCUCAGAGACGAUGAAGGACGUGAUAAGCUGCGAAAAGUUACGGGGAGAAGCACAUAUUUUAUGAUCCGUAAAUAUCCGAAUGGGGCAACCCGGCAUGCUGAAGCAUGUCACCUAGCAAUAGGGGUAAACCCGGUGAACUGAAACAUCUAAGUAACCGGAGGAAGAGAAAACAAAAGUGAUUCCGUUAGUAGUGGCGAGCGAACGCGGAUUA